AAAUCAUAAAAGCCAGCAUUUCAGUAAGGGCCUGAGGUCAGUUGAAGACAAGGUCAGUUGAAGACAAUUAGAACAAAUCAGCCAAGAAUGUUGAGAUAGAAACCUAUAAUCUAAAUCUAUAGCUGGGGGGAACUGAUACCAAGAGCUUGUGCAUAGAUAAAGAAAAAUGUUUAUAUGUCAACAGACUUAAUUGUCUUAACUAUUCCAGGAAGCAGAAAACCCGCUGUGGAAAGUUACCGGGUUGUAAAAUGGAAAGACCCUGCCCCCUAAAAUGUAUUUAACCUGUGCUCAAACCCUGCUUCGGGGCCCACAACCUCUGCUCUGUGUUCAGAGUAUGUUGUGGGACCGGGCAUGCCUGUACCAAUAAACCCUUUGCUUUUUGCAUGAGAAGCCUCUUUUGGUGCUUUGUGAGUGCGGCCAGCGUUCCGGGCGUUACAUUUGGAGGUCCCACCGAGAUUGCUGCAGCCGCCUUCAGGCUCCAACAGACGCUUCUUGGGGUUAAAGGCUCUGGAAGGGAUCCAGUAAUUUGUCUGAAUGGAAGCCGUUGGCCUCCGCUUAUCAACCAGGAGACCUUAAGGUGCCCCACUCAUUCCGAGUCGGAGACUCGGUACUCGUAAGAAGACACCAGACUCACAGCCUAGAGCCCCGGUGGGAAGGACCCUACGUGGUGCUGCCGACCACCCCGACAGCAGUAAAAGUAGAUGACAUCACGUCUUGGAUCCAUGCCUCCCAUCUCAAGCCUGCGCCGCAGCAGCCGGGACCAGAAUGAACGGUAGAAAAGACUGACAGUAUUAGACACUUGGGAUCUGGGAGCAGUAGAAGACCCCACCAAACUCCCCCUGCUCAUACGAGAUGAUGGGCACCAUCCCAGCGGUGCCCAUACCUCAGGGUGCAGUGAUUCCCGCCAGGGGAAGCAGAAAACCCGCUGUGGAAAGUUACCGGGUUGUAAAAUGGAAAGACCCUGCCCCCUAAAAUGUAUUUAACCUGUGCUCAAACCCUGCUUCGGGGCCCACAACCUCUGCUCUGUGUUCAGAGUAUGUUGUGGGACCGGGCAUGCCUGUACCAAUAAACCCUUUGCUUUUUGC